AGGUGUGGGCUGACCUAGCCAGGGAGCGGGGAAGUGAAAGGAAUGGGUCCCUUCCCACUCAGAGGGCGGAGCCCCCACUUCUGGUGAGAGAAAGCUGAGCAGAAUGGAUCUAAUCUGAUUCCUCCACCCAGAAGCCCUUAAAAUGCAGCUUUGUUUUAAGCCUUCUUGAAGAUUUGGGCUAGAUCUAGAAAAGAACCUCACCACGGAGGAUGUGCAAAGUACAACACGUGACCCCGGAGACGGAAGCUCUUCUCUACCUCCGUAAAGAUGAUCUCUGAUGAACAGACAUGAUCAUGCCUGGAGAACAGGGAUGGACAGUCCCGCUUCUGAAAGACCCUGUCUGGCUGAUGAUUCAUGGUGCGCCGGGCAGACCCCAGGCCAAGAGACCCCACCCACAGUACCUGAGUGCUCAGCUGGGAACCAGACCAGACCUCAAAACAGGUUCCCAAGGUUACCACCCAACCCUGCCAACUUUCGCACCCCGCAAGGAGCAAGACCCCGCCCGCUCACCACCUGCCUGUGCAGCCAACGGGCCUCGCUGAGCUGCCCUGGGCCGCUCCCUCCAUUCACACAGUUGGCCCUCCCUCUCCCUGCCUCCCUUCGCCUACCCCACGAACUACUUCAUCCCUCUGGGCCGGCACUGUAGAAGCCCCAUUGUUCACAUCGACCUCCCAAUUAUCUCCUCUUUCCCUCUCCCUCUGCUCCUGCCCAGACCAGCCCCCCAGCAUUGACCUGGAUGCCUGCCACAGCCUCCUCCCUGGUCUCCGGCCUCCCACCUCUGCUCCUCGGUCUCCUCUACCCAGCCAGUAACUGCAGAGAGCACUAAAGCACAGUCCUGGCAUCUCACCCCCUUAACCCUGGCCACGGCUUCCCAGUGCCUCCAAGAUAAAGCACCAACACCUGAGGACAGCAGCUUGUUUUGAGAGUCCCCUCCAUUGAAACACGCACAUCUAAUUUGUCCUUCAGUUCGCUGGACUCCACGCUGAACGUGCCAUGCUCCAUUGCCCCGUGGGGCCACCCGCAGACUGUAACCGGCUGGUUCAAGAUCAAGGACUUCCCCAGGCCACCUGCCUCAGAGGCAAGAAAGGCUCAGCUGAGUCCCAGACACUCCUCGCUGUGGCCCCUCCUUCCUCCCUGCUGGGCAGGCCCCCCUCAAUUCUGUUUGCCAGCAGGGCCUAGUAACACUGAAAGACGAAAAGGGAAAUAAAAUAAACACAAUUAAUAGGCUAAAGGUUACUGAAUAAAG
rnacentral:lncRNA from 1 species